GCGGCCGCCGUGAAGAAGCGGCCCUUCUUCUGGCCUUCCUCCGAGGACAAGCUUGGUACUGCAGUUCUUCAGUUCCAAAAUUCGAAGCUGUCUCAAAAGUUAGAGGCUCAACGAGUUGAAUGCUCUGUUCUUGACGAUAGACUUUCUCAGACCAAGGAAAAACAGUGGCCAUACAAGUCCACAUUGAAAACGGUCCGAAAGUCUUGGGGAGGGGUAAUGCUUGUUAUGUUUUUAAUCUGAUGUGUUUUCCUUUAACGCUUGUGUCAAAUCCCCCAACCAUCACAAAGUUCAGUCGAUAAGUAGAGGUUCUCUUUCGCCUUACUGGGCGUAUGAAAUUCUAACUGAUGUCUUCCUAAUGGCUUAUAACUGCCAUGGAAUCAUGCUCUUUUCGCGUGACAAUGACAUGCACUGUUGGUGACUGACAAAGAUCAGAAGGAAACUCUGGUUCGAGGGUAGCCAAGUGACAUGCACUCUAUCAUAGACUGAAGAGUUUGUGUAGUCCUGGUAUCUGUGCGUCAGAAUAUUGAUUUCCUUCUGUGUGCCCAAAAGAGGUUGUAAUCACAAAGUGCUACCAUUUGUUCUGCAAUCAAUGCGUGCAAAAGAUCACAGCUAGUCGGCAAAAGGAGUGCCCAACAUGCUCAGCAAGUUUUGGACACAAUGAUGUUAAACCAAUCUACAUAUGAUGCAGAAUAGGUGCAGUGUUCUGCUUAACCGCAUGUCCUUCAUGCCUGUGCUGCGUCUGCAUCGGGUAGUGGCCAAUGCUUUGAACUAUGAAGCCACGUUGUUGUGUAGUUUCAUGCCCGAUGACUUGCUGGAAACUCUCAGCCCCUUCAGGCCAUUUUAAAACGUGGUAACAACAGUUAAGGCCGGUCUGGAUCCGGCCAGUAAACUCCACAUCCACAUUACGAAACACACAGAGGAAUUGCUGAAACGGUUUUACUCUUGUGGAGGUGUAUAUCAUUUGGUAUUCCAUCUUUGAAUAACUUGGAACCACAGGGAAUUCCUUGCAGAUCAAUGGAGGUGUUUUAGAAUCUUAGAUCUCAUGUAAUUAGUAGAAACUCUUCUGUGGUUCAUGCAGAAACGGAAGAAGAGUACGGGGUAAUACGCUUUCGGUGUGAAGGGUAUGGCUCUUUGGCGUCAGAGAUAAAGGUCAGAUUAUUUAGUUUACACGUUUUUCUUGAGAUCUUUUGAUGGGUAUUAGUUGCAAUACUUAGGGCUGCGUUCUUUAUGGCUGGAUUUGGUUCUGUUUUCCGCUAUGGAUGGGUUUCUGGAUUUCAAGCCUCCGCACAUGUUCUUCGUUUAGUGGUGUUGCUUUUUGAUUUUUCGUCUUUCUCCUCGCUUCCUUUUCUUUUUGUUCGCCAUCUUUAUUCCCAGGGAUAAAAGAUCACGUGUUGUUUUAGCCGAGUCAUCUCACUCGUCCUUGUUAUAUCUGAUAAGUUAUGUUUCUAACAUAAAUCACUUUUCCCCUUGUUUUUUUGCGUAGAAAGCCCAUAAAAUAUGACUACGAAAUGCGUAGAGAGAAAGACCCAUGACUCGCGUCUCUUUAAGCUCAUUCGUGCAUUUUUAAUUUUUAUUUUAAUAAUUUUUGCAUUUUAGUAUCUCGACUUCAUUUGGAUUAUGUUUAUUAUCUUAAUUUUUUGUUGACAAAUUUCUAAUAAAAAUUGCCAAUGCAACAGAUCGGAAUUGACAUA